GAAUUUUGGACAAUGGGAGAAAGCCUGAUCCAGCAAUGCCUCGUGCAGGAUGAAGGCCUUCGGGUUGUAAACUCCUUUUGUACGGACGGAAAAGCUUUCGGUUAAGACGCUGGAGUCAUGACGGUACCGUAAGAAUACGCCCCGUCUAACUACGGGCCAGCCGCCGCUGUAAGACGUAGGGUGCAAGCGUUAAUCGGAAUUACUGGGCGUAAAGCGUGCGCAGGCGGUUUUGUAAGACAGAGGUGAAAUCCCCGGGCUCAACCUGGGAACUGCAUUUGUGACUGCAAGGCUAGAGUACGGCAGAGGGGGGUGGAAUUCCGCGUGUAGCAGUGAAAUGCGUAGAUAUGCGGAGGAACACCGAUGGCGAAGGCAACCCCCUGGGCCUGUACUGACGCUCAUGCACGAAAGCGUGGGGAGCAAAC
rnacentral:rRNA from 1 species